CCACGAAGGAGGAGGUCGCCGCGGCCAU
rnacentral:sRNA from 1 species